GGAUUCCCCUAGUAGAGGCUGAGCGAAGCGGAAGAGCUCAAAUUUAUAAUCGUCUCGUGCACCUUUCGGUGUCCGAGUGGUAAUCUCUAGAAAUAUUUUCCGCGCUGGACCGCACACAACUCUGUUGGAAUACAGAGGCAUACUGGUGAGACCCCCGUACAUGGUGCGGAUGCCCAGCGCUUUGUGAUACAUUUUCGAACAGUCCAGUUGUUUGGGAAUGCAGCUCAAAUUGGGUGGUAAAUUCCAUCUAAAGCUAAAUAUCGGCAAGAGACCGAUACCCAACAAGUACCCUGAGGGAAAGAUGAAAAGCACUUUGGAAACAAAGUUAACAGUACGUGAAAUUGUUGGAAGGGAAACGCUUGAAAUCAGACCUGCUUGCCGAGCGAUCGGUCUGCAAGCCACCGGAUCAGUUUUCCAGGAUGCAUAAUGGUACAGACAAAGUAGCAUGUUCUCGGCUGUGUUAAAGCUCUCUACUGGAUACAUCUCGGGGAACUGAGGAACGCAGUGUGCCUUACGGCAGGGGCUUCGACCUC
rnacentral:rRNA from 1 species